GACACUAAAUCACAUUUGUGAGUUAAGUUGAUACCUUAAAAGAAAAAGAUUUGUUCUUUUUAGUGUUA
rnacentral:tRNA from 1 species